AUCCAGCUGACGAGUCCCGAAUAGGAUGAAGCGCGCAUUCUGGAU
rfam:Schistosoma mansoni strain Puerto Rico chromosome 1, complete genome